CAUGAAGCAGCUGCAAGAAUUAAUUUACCACGAAAGUUGACAUUUUCGAGCUGACUGUCUCUUAGAGAAAAUGAUGUCACCCUCUAGCAGCCUAAUGACAGUCAUCAGCCUGGGAGGACACAUGCUAAUAAGGUGUUGGAACCAGUGUUUACAUUGGGAAAGGCCAUUGCUUCAAGAGGCUGGGUCACCCUGACCUAAAGAAGGACAGGAUAGUAGAGCUGAUCCACUUCCUCUGGGAUUGUUGAGAGAUAAAAGAGAUCACGCUCUCCUACACUGUUGGUGGGAAUGCAAGCUGGUGCAGCC